AUUGAACGCUGGCGGCAUGCUUUACACAUGCAAGUCGAACGGUAACAGGCCUUCGGGUGCUGACGAGUGGCGAACGGGUGAGUAAUGCAUCGGAACGUGCCCGGAGGUGGGGGAUAACGCAGCGAAAGCUGUGCUAAUACCGCAUGUGAUCUGAGGAUGAAAGCGGGGGACCAGGCAGCAAUGUUUGGCCUCGCGCCUUUGGAGCGGCCGAUGUCAGAUUAGGUAGUUGGUGGGGUAAAGGCCUACCAAGCCGACGAUCUGUAGCUGGUCUGAGAGGACGACCAGCCACACUGGGACUGAGACACGGCCCAGACUCCUACGGGAGGCAGCAGUGGGGAAUUUUGGACAAUGGGCGUAAGCCUGAUCCAGCAAUGCCGCGUGCGGGAAGAAGGCCUUCGGGUUGUAAACCGCUUUUGUACGGAACGAAAAGGCUCUGGCUAAUACCUGGGGCUGAUGACGGUACCGUAAGAAUAAGCACCGGCUAACUACGUG
rnacentral:rRNA from 1 species